GGGUAGUAAUGGUAAUGAUAGCAGUUUAGUGAUGGUGGUGGUAGUAGUAGUAGUGGUAUGGGUAGUAAUGGUAAUGAUAGCAGUUUAGUGAUGGUGAUAGUAGUAGUAGUGGUAUGGGUAGUAAUGGUAAUGAUAACAGUUUAGUGAUGGUGGUGGUAGUAGUAGUGGUAGUAGUAGUAGUAGUGGUAUGGGUAGUAAUGGUAAUGAUAACAGUUUAGUGGUGGUGGUGGUAGUAGUAGUGGUAUGGGUAGUAAUGGUAAUGAUAGCAGUUUAGUGAUGUGGUGGUGGUAGUAGUAGUAGUGGUAUGGGUAGUAAUGGUAAUGAUAGCAGUUUAGUGAUGGUAGUGGUAGUAGUAGUAGUGGUAUGGGUAGUAAUGGUAAUGAUAACAGUUUAGUGAUGGUGGUGGUAGUAGUAGUAGUGGUAUGGGUAGUAAUGGUAAUGAUAACAGUUUAGUGAUGUGGUGGUAGUAGUAGUGGUAUGGGUAGUAAUGGUAAUGAUAACAGUUUAGUGAUGGUGGUAGUAGUAGUAGUGGUAUGGGUAGUAAUGGUAAUGAUAACAGUUUAGUGAUGGUGGUGGUAGUAGUAGUGGUAUGGGUAGUAAUGGUAAUGAUAGCAGUUUAGUGAUGGUGGUAGUAGUAGUAGUGGUAUGGGUAGUAAUGGUAAUGAUAGCAGUUUAGUGAUGGUAGUAGUAGUAGUAGUGGUAUGGGUAGUAAUGGUAAUGAUAACAUAGUAGUGGUAGUAGUAGUAGUAGUGGUAUGGGUAGUAAUGGUAAUGAUAGCAGUUUAGUGAUGGUGGUGGUAGUAGUAGUAGUGGUAUGGGUAGUAAUGGUAAUGAUAGCAGUUUAGUGAUGGUGGUGGUAGUAGUAGUAGUGGUAUGGGUAGUAAUGGUAAUGAUAAUAGUUUAGUGAUGGUGGUGGUGGUAGUAGUGGUAAUGAUGACAGUAGUUGUAGUACUGAUGUAAUGGUGAAGAUGACCGUUAUUUAGUUAUAAGUUAGUUAUAGAUUCAUUUUCCAUAUUUAGAUUUUUAUAUUUAUUACAUUACAUUCUACUAUUGACUGUUACCAUUUUAUUGUUAUUAUUUUUGUGUUAUUGUUUACUACCAUUUUAUAUUAUUAUUUGUUAUUGUUUAUAAUUGUAUUACAAUGUAUAUUGUAUACAUUGCUGCUUUGGCAAUAUUGACACAAUGUUUUUCAUGCCAAUAAAGCAGCUUGA
rnacentral:lncRNA from 1 species